UAGCUAGUUGGUUAGGUAAAGGCUAACCAAGGCGACGAUCGGUAGCUGGUCUGAGAGGAUGACCAGCCACACUGGGACUGAGACACGGCCCAGACUCCUACGGGAGGCAGCAGUGGGGAAUAUUGGACAAUGGGGGGAACCCUGAUCCAGCAAUGCCGCGUGUGUGAAGAAGGCCUGCGGGUUGUAAAGCACUUUCACUGGGGAGGAGGAUUGAUUGGUUAAGAGCUAAACAAUUGGACGUUACCCAGAGAAGAAGCACCGGCUAACUCCGUGCCAGCAGCCGCGGUAAUACGGAGGGUGCGAGCGUUAAUCGGAAUUACUGGGCGUAAAGGGUGCGUAGGUGGUUUAUUAAGUUAACUGUGAAAGCCCUGGGCUCAACCUGGGAAGGUCAUUUAAGACUGAUAGACUUGAGUAUAGGAGAGGGAAGUGGAAUUUCCGGUGUAGCGGUGAAAUGCGUAGAGAUCGGAAGGAACACCAGUGGCGAAGGCGUCUUCCUGGCCUAAUACUGGCACUGAGGCACGAAAGCGUGGGUAGCAAACAGGAUUAGAUACCCUGGUAGUCCACGCUGUAAACGAUGUCAACUAGCUGUUGGUCAUAUGAAAGUGAUUAGUGGCGC
rnacentral:rRNA from 1 species